AGCACACGAGAGCGAUUAGAUGAUGUUUCCAGUGACUCAUGACCAGUGAGUGAACGGCCGAGCUAAAUUCAGACUUAGAUCUGCUCUCCCGACCUCAAUGUCAUGACUGAACUCAUCCUAGCAGCAGCUUGCCAGCGCUGUGCCCACGCCGCUAGUGCCUCUCACUCGCCUGGCCCAAUUUACCAUCUUUCAAUAAUCUAAAUUAAAACUGGGGGCCACUGGCUUGGAUCUAAAAUUGUAAAAUGGGUUAUUGAACUGCCAGCCUGGAGCCCAGAGACCUCUCUUCUGUAUGAGCAAGGACAGAGGUAUGCCCUUCCGGACGACGCUCUCUGGUUUUCAUUAUGUCACGGCUUGCACAGCUGCUGGAGGGCUGUCUGGAGCAUCUGCUCCAAUGCCUUUCGCUACAGGAGCCAUUUCGCCACAGGCCACAGCCGUUCAAUGGCUCCUGUAGCUUCCAGGGGGGAAAGUUGCACUCCUAAGCUCCCUCCCCCAACCGGCUUUGUCGCUUCUCUGCUUCCCCAUUGGCUGGCAAGCACCUGGGCCACAGCUCUUCAGCACUUCUUGGACCUGCAGCCCAUCCCAGAGAUGGAGGAUGCUGCUGUCCCACACCGGCUGUUAGCGAGAUGGAGCCACCAACGUACAGCUGGCACACAGCAAGGGACUCGUAGUGUUCCUUGUCUUCCCUUCCCUCAUGCUUGUACGACCUACAAAGGGCAGUCCACGUGGCAGCAUGUUCUACACAGUGCUGUUAUCCUUGGGCAAAUACUUCCAGGCACAGCAAACAGGGACAUUAUUACGUCACUCAAGCUGAUGCAGAAGAAGCCGUUUCCUAGACUUUAUUCCUCUCACAUCCCUGAAAAGUGGAUAAAUACCCUGUAAACUCUGGAUGCUCGCCACUGGCCACAGAGUUAUGAUCAUCUGGUUGUCUCCACAGGUUGACGCUAACGUUGGGCCUGCAGUAGCAUCUUUAGAACGCUAGCUGGUCGAUCAUGAUUGGCAUAGACAGGGAAGCGGGGAGUACGGGCCGGUCAUUCCAGGGUCCUAUGAUUUGACUCGGCAUUGUCCAGAGCACGAGGAAGCACAGCAGAAACAGGGCCCAAGACUCCCUUUUCUCGGAUGUGGAACCUGCUGUUUCAAACUGCAGGACUCAGACAAGGCAAGGCCCCAGCGCAAUGGACAGCAGCUGAUUUUGCGGGCUGAGGACUGGUUGGGUUGACCAUGCUCAGACAAGAAAAUCUAUACAACACUGCUGCGGCUCUGAACCCCAAGCGCGGUUGUCCUACCCUUUCUUCCCAGCUCCCUGAUUCACCCUUUCUCUGAAACCCCAGGAGAGUAAAUAGCGAUUAGGCAGAAACUAUGUGGUGCUUUCCCAUUCCAGAUACUCCAGACUAGAGCGGCCGGGAGCUUGGAGCUCAGCCUGUUCCAGGGAAGUCGGGCAAGCAUGAACUCUGCCCGUGGCUGGGACUCUCCUGACUCCAACGCCCUCUCAGUCACACCAGGGGUUCCAGAUUUUCCCUAUCUGCUGCCACACCCAACCUACCUGCUUGGGAUUUGCAUACUAGGCUGGCUCCAAACUCACAUGUGGCCAAGAUUGCCCUUGAACUCCUGACCCUCUCAAGUGUAAGGAUUAUGGGCGAGAGUCACCGCAUUCAGCUCAGUCGCCUGGUCUUGCUCAGUGAACAGCUGGAGCAAUUACACCUAUUGAAAGGAGCUCACCCUAAGUGGAAAAAGGAAGCCAGCGACUGUGCCUUCACCUGAUUGAGGAUUGCCAAGCAGGAAGCCAAAGGUGCAGAGGAGGAGGCCCAGGAACCUCAGUGGAGCCCAACAGUCACUGCAGGCCGCUCAUCCUCACACCUAUUGCAGAAUGAACAAGGAAAUUAAGCACAACGCCUGAAGCUCCAGCUCUUAUCUAUCCUGGGAAGAGCCAAAGCCCGUCUGAACCUGAGCGAAACUGGGCACAGUGGCUCCGUGGAACUUGUCUCCACCCUGCUCUCUCCGAGGAACUUCCAUCUCUCUCCAUCCUGCUCCCCCCACCUCCCACCCCUCUCGUUCCUUCUUCUUUUUUUGUGUGCCCAGUGCCCCAGGGUCCCAGCAUCUUGCCAUCCUUCAUCCCCUUUCGAGUUAACUGCAUCAUCUACUAAAUGGGUACAAAGAUGUGUAGCUGACAUGAUGACACUGGAUGAUAGGGUUGUUGAAAUGCUUACUGAAGUUAAAUGAAGUACGCAUGUACCAGGCAGGUAGUAGGUGUUCAAUAGAUCCACCACUUCACUCUCUAGAGAAGUUUGGCCUUCGUUGUCUCCCUUAGUCUGAGAGUGAUUUUGUGUUUUCUCACCUUGUCCCUUGUGUCUGAGUAAUGACACUUCAGUGACUCACACAAGCUAGUUUUUAUUUUAAUAAAUAUUUAUGCAUUCA